rnacentral:rRNA from 1 species
AUUUGACUCAACGCGGGAAAUCUUACCAGGGUCCGGACACACUGAGGAUUGACAGGAAGUAUCGUCUUUUGAAAUCUUUAAGUACAUGUCGUUUCUAAUGACAUCUUUUAGAUGAAUGAUUCGUGUAAAUAUGCUAGUUCUUUCAUGAUUAUGUGAUAGGUGGUGCAUGGCCGUUCUUAGUUCGUGGAGUGAUCUGUCUGCUUAAUUGCGUUUCACUAUGGCCCCAAAGUUAGCAAGUUAUCCAAUCAUGACCUUCGUCGACCCCUCACCUUUGAGUGCGCGUCCUAGCUUAGAGUACAUGGUGUAAAUGGACUUGUUUUGGGUACCCAGAAAGCAACGAACGUGACCGCAACGUCUUGUUGUCUCUCUUUUGACAGUUAUGGGUUAUCCCAGUCAUGUGCUUAUACUUUUAUGUGUAAAUACGUACGACACAGAGACUAGAUACCAAACUAGGCGUACCGCUGUAUCAUUUCUUUAAACCAGAGGAAGGUUGCGGCAAUAACAGGUCUGUGAUGC